rnacentral:rRNA from 1 species
CCUACGGGAGGCUGCAGUGGGGAAUAUUGGACAAUGGGCGAAAGCCUGAUUCAGCCAUGCCGCGUGUGUGAAGAAGGCCUUCGGGUUGUAAAGCACUUUCAGUGGGGAAGAAAGCCUUGGGGCUAAUACCCUCGAGGAAGGACAUCACCCACAGAAGAAGCACCGGCUAACUCCGUGCCAGCAGCCGCGGUAAUACGGAGGGUGCGAGCGUUAAUCGGAAUUACUGGGCGUAAAGCGCGCGUAGGCGGUCUGAUAAGCCGGUUGUGAAAGCCCCGGGCUCAACCUGGGAACGGCAUCCGGAACUGUCAGGCUAGAGUGCAGGAGAGGAAGGUAGAAUUCCCGGUGUAGCGGUGAAAUGCGUAGAGAUCGGGAGGAAUACCAGUGGCGAAGGCGGCCUUCUGGACUGACACUGACGCUGAGGUGCGAAAGCGUGGGUAGCAAACAGGAUUAGAUACCCCGGUAGUC